CAGUCGCCGCGGUAAAACGAAGGGUGCAAGCGUUACUCGGAAUUACUGGGCGUAAAGCGUGCGUAGGCGGUGAGUUAAGUCUGCUGUGAAAUCCCCGGGCUCAACCUGGGAAUGGCAGUGGAUACUGGCUCGCUAGAGUGUGUCAGAGGAUGGUGGAAUUCCCGGUGUAGCGGUGAAAUGCGUAGAGAUCGGGAGGAACAUCAGUGGCGAAGGCGGCCAUCUGGGACAACACUGACGCUGAGGCACGAAAGCGUGGGGAGCAAACAGGAUUAGAUACCCCUGUAGUCCCUGUCUCUUAUAC
rnacentral:rRNA from 1 species